rnacentral:rRNA from 1 species
UACGAAGGGGGCUAGCGUUGUUCGGAUUCACUGGGCGUAAAGGGUGCGUAGGCGGGUUUUUAAGUCAGGGGUGAAAUCCCGAGGCUCAACCUCGGAACUGCCUUUGAUACUGGGUGUCUCGAGUCCGGAAGAGGUGAGUGGAAUUCCGAGUGUAGAGGUGAAAUUCGUAGAUAUUCGGAGGAACACCAGUGGCGAAGGCGGCUCACUGGUCCGGUACUGACGCUGAGGUGCGAAAGCGUGGGGAGCAAACAGG